UCAAACUUAAUUUAAUCGUUCACUUACUCUUUAUUCCACUUUUAGAAGAAAAGAAUUCCUGAAUUCUUUCCUCUUUCUCUCAAAAUAUCUUCCUUUCCACUUUCAAUAUCUUCCUUUGCCUUCAAUUAAAUAUCCCUCACUGGUUAGAUGAAGAAAUAUGGAAGGAUUUAUACAUAAAUGGGAAAAAUCAACAAACCUUCUUCUUUCUUCCUCUUAACUGUUCCUCUCGCUAGAAACUCUCCCUCUCGCGAUUUCUUCUCCAGGAACAAAUGGAAGGAAUCUUUCUCACGUGAGAAGUAGUUAAUUUACUCACAUGUACGUGAUCAUUCGCUCAAAACCGCAAACCAACUCGCUUGGAUCACGUAUGCAUGAGGGCGGCUUCGCCUGGGUCACGAUUUCCAUCUGCUCCGUCUCUGUUUCGUUCGUGGCACGUUUUAAUUAGAAGUUGACCUGCUCAAUCAAACCGACAAGUCUAAACCGGUUCAUUACAACAUGUUUGUUGUGAAGAGCAGUAGGGAAUACUAACAUUGGCAGACGUUGAACAACAUCGAUUUUAAUAAGCUACAAACCAUGUAGACUGGGACUUUGGAGAAGAGUCUUGUUGUUCAUAGAGUCUUUAAUAGGAAAGCUAGAAGCAUCAAAGAUAAUAUAGCAUGGAUUAUCAGAUGUUAAUUUGUGGGUUGAGAGUAAAUUAUGAGAAAGACGAGGAACAUGUAAAAUAGUAGGAAGUUGCAGCUUAUGUGAUCGUGUUGGUAAAAUACCCUAACCAGAAUUUGAUAAUUGAUAAUAAUUUCUCAUUACCAGCCUGAACUUCAGAGGAUCCAGUGUAGGGUUGGGAAGCUUGAGGUUGAGCUGAGUUGGAGGAGAGAUGAAAGGAUGCACCUCAAUCCAAAAACCAAUCAGCUGUAGAGGAAGCUUCUUGGGAGAUAUAGGCGUGCUGGGAGGAUUGAAAUGAGAGAUCAGUUUGAUGCCAGUAUUAAAGCGCAAAGUGGCCAAAUUUGUCAUAAAUAUGACAUUCAAUGGAGGAACGUGAUCAAUGACCUCCUCGAGCAGUAGAAAAUGACAUUCGACCACAGCGAGCAGACGCAAGGUGACCACGACCAGGAGCAGGAAGAAAUCUACAACCACACGAAUGACCACAAACAAUUGUUAAAGCAAAUGUUGUAUCAAUAAGCAUUGGAGAUGAGUUUUCAUGAGCUUUGUUGGCAGCAAUAUUAAGCUCCUUGCUACAGAGAUUGAACAAUGAAUUUCUCCUCCAUUUGUCUCCUUCAUUUGUAGCCGAUGAAGUUCAUUUUCAAUUGGAGAAUGCGAGAGCGAUUUGUAUA